AAACCUUUUGCAGCUUUAGGAGAGUUCUCAUCACUGUUCCAUUUCUUCCUGGAGUGGAUUGGUUCUGGGUUUAUUUCAUCAGGUGGUGGGGUCGAUAUUUCUAUUUCAGAUUUCUCAGGUAACUCCAAAAUUUCACUGAAUCCACCAUUUUCUCUGAUAUUGACAGCGCAUAGGUUCAGAGCCUUAUUUGGUGACUCUGGCACAUGAUGUAUUGUUGUUUCAGAUGUGUACUCACCAUGAUCACCAGGUGUUUCUAUGUAUUCACAAACAACUGGAGCUACUUUAGAGAAUCCCUCGUCACCUGCAGAUGAGUCUUUGUGGAGAGAAUCACCAUUGCAGCCUUUAUCAUCUAAGCUAUCUCCUGAAAUCAUA
rnacentral:lncRNA from 1 species